GAAGUUCAAGCCCAAAGGCCCUA
rnacentral:siRNA from 1 species